rnacentral:rRNA from 1 species
AUGGAGGAUGUAGAGGGGCUCAUGAAGGGCUUGAAACUAUCGGCGGCGGAGCGGAGAGGUCUGAAGAUCGGGCAGUCAGAGAAGGGGAAGGAGAGUGAAUGGGCGCCGGUUGAUCCACAAGCUGUGGGUAAAUUACUAUCGGAGAAGCCGGCUCCUGCAAGUGCGGUGGGACAAACGUUGGGGAGAAUCUGGUGCCCUAUCAAGGGGCUUGAUUGUAGGGAGCUGGAGACAAAUGUGUUCCUUUUCACGUACCGUCAAGCAUUGGGAUGGAGGAGGGCCCUGGAGGAUGGACCGUGGUGGUUCGAUAAAGAGUUGCUUGUUAUGGAGGAGUUUGAUCCAGAGAAGACGGUCGACGAGUACGAGUUCAAUCUGAUCCCCAUGUGGAUUCGUGUAUUUGGCCUGCCUCUCGGAUACAUGAACAGGGCGACAGGAGAGCGCAUUGGGGCUGACUUUCAUGAUCUGGUUGAAGUGGAUGUACGGCAUGAUGGAAAGGCGGUGGGGAAGUUUUUGCGUGUGAAGGUUAAGCUUGAUAUUAAAGAACCCUUGAUGAGAGGUUUUGUGCUUGACAGAGGGGAAAAGAAAGGGAAGGACGACGCGGAGGAGAUGGAGGUAAUAGGAGAGACUAAGAAGAAGAAGAAGAAAGAGAUGUUGUGGUGUCGAUUUGAGUACGAAUACAUGCCGGAUUUUUGCUAUACUUGUGGUGUGAUAGGGCACGGUGAGAAAGACUGCAGUAGUAAACCUAUCAGAGGAGAGGCGCCCCAGUUUUGGCGCAUGGAUGAGAGCGGAGGACCGCAAAUUGGGAGAGGGAGGAUGGCAGGGGAAGGGUCAUGA